rnacentral:rRNA from 1 species
CCUACGGGAGGCAGCAGUGGGGAAUAUUGGGCAAUGGAGGCAACUCUGACCCAGCAACGCCGCGUGAAUGAUGAAGGUCUUCGGAUUGGAAAGUUCUGUGAUGGGGGAUGAACACAAUGACGGUACCCCAAUAGCAAGCCACGGCUAACUACGUGCCAGCAGCCGCGGUAAGACGUAGGUGGCGAGCGUUAUCCGGAAGGACUGGUCGUAAAGGGUGCGUAGGUGGUUUAGUAAGUUGGCGGUGUAAUUCCGGGGCUGAACCGCGGCGCUACCGCAAAAACUAUUAGGCUAGAGUGCAGGAGGGGUAGGUGGAAUUCCUAGUGUAGCGGUGGAAUGCGUAGAUAUUAGGAAGAACAGCAGGGGCGAAGGCGACUUACUGGACUGUAACUGACGCUGAGGCACGAAAGCGUGGGGAGCAAACAGGAUUAGAUACCCUAGUAGUC